rnacentral:rRNA from 1 species
UACGUAGGUGGCAAGCGUUGUCCGGAAUUAUUGGGCGUAAAGCGCGCGCAGGCGGUCCUUUAAGUCUGAUGUGAAAGCCCACGGCUCAACCGUGGAGGGUCAUUGGAAACUGGGGGACUUGAGUGCAGGAGAGAAGAGUGGAAUUCCACGUGUAGCGGUGAAAUGCGUAGAGAUGUGGAGGAACACCAGUGGCGAAGGCGACUCUUUGGCCUGUAAUCUGACGCUGAGGCGCGAAAAGCGUGGGGAGCAAACAGG